rnacentral:lncRNA from 1 species
CGUGUAGGUGGUUCCCUUAUCAAGAGGGAACUUUAUCGCCAAGUGAGGCAUGGAGAUGUCACACCGAAUGUAGUUAGACAUGGCCAUCCGAUUAACAUGUUAUACAAAGUGUUUGCCUUCAUUAGCAGGUACCUCACCCUUACUCCUUCGCAUCGCGUCCGAGCACCAACAUGGUCCUCAAAUUCACGUAGCCACUUGUAUCCACCGC